rnacentral:lncRNA from 1 species
UGGGUCCUCAUCAUGAGUGCGAGCCUAUGGAUGUAGAUGGUACCAGUGUGGGGACUUGUUUCCUAAUGUCACGUAGGAUUGCUUCUAGAAUCCCGAUGAUCGGCUGGUUCAUUUGUGUGACUUUAUUGAACAUUUGACAAGAACAUUGAUAAUAAAUGAGGGCUCCUGUUCCAGUGGCCUCACUGCUUUCUAAUAGCCUUCACUGGCUUACUGGCUGUACCACAUUUCUGGUGCUCAAUGAUGAAGAACAAGUCACCAGCCAUCUGGGUCUCAGUUGUCUCAUCUGUAAGGAUGAAGGCAAAGUGUAAUUUGUAAAAACAAACAGUUAAGCAUGUGUACAUCCUGGAGAGCGAGAUCCUGGUGAGAAGCAGGAUGGAUUCCACUGAUGCAGAAAGAGUGGCCUGGAGGAGCCUGAAAGGGGUGAUUCAGAGCCAGCACGGAGUCCCCAGGCUAGCCCCUCAAUGAGGAAGGCCUGGAGGAUGAACGCACUCACAGCUGUGGCUUCUUCACAAUUGAUUGGGAAACCUCUACUCCUGAGGGCCUCUACCCAGUGACCACUUCGUUAGCCAUCCGUGCUACAGUACAUCUUCCAGGACACAUGAGAUGCUCUGUUGGAGAACAUGGUCUUCACUUAGCAGAAGCAGAAGAGGCAUCAAAAUAAGCCAUUCUCACACUGAUUCUUCAUCACUGGGGAUUUGGCGCCUUUUCACUGUUUAUUUUAAUAUAACUGACAACCUUUGUAGUCAAUUUGGUAUCAUUCAUAUCCUGAAAUAUCAUAGACCUGUCUGUAUCUGAUUUGCAAAGUACAGUAAGCAGAAUAAUGCAAUGAAAGUUAUGAUGCUUUAUCUUAAG